rnacentral:tRNA from 1 species
GGAGAUUUAGCUCAGUGGUAGAGCACUUGCCUAGCAAGCGCAAGGCCCUGGGUUCAGACCCCAGCUUUG